rnacentral:rRNA from 1 species
UCCUACGGGAGGCAGCAGUGGGGAAUCUUGCGCAAUGGGCGAAAGCCUGACGCAGCAACGCCGCGUGCGGGAAGAAGGCUUUCGGGCUGUAAACCGCUUUCAGCAGGAACGAAAAUGACGGUACCUGCAGAAGAAGGAGCGGCCAACUAUGUGCCAGCAGCCGCGGUGAUACAUAGGCUUCAAGCGUUGUCCGGAUUUAUUGGGCGUAAAGAGUUCGUAGGCGGUCGAGUAAGUCGGGUGUGAAAAUUCUGGGCUCAACCCAGAGACGCCACCCGAUACUGCUUAACUUGAGUUCGAUAGGGGAGUGGGGAAUUCCUAGUGUAGCGGUGAAAUGCGCAGAUAUUAGGAGGAACACCGGUGGCGAAGGCGCCACUCUGGAUCGACACUGACGCUGAGGAACGAAAGCAUGGGUAGCAAACAGGAUUAGAUACCCUGGCAGUCCAUGCGGUAAACGGUGGGCACUAGGUGUGGGUUUCUAUUAACGAAAUCCGCGCCGUCGCUAACGCAUUAAGUGCCCCGCCUGGGGAGUACGGUCGCAAGACUAAAACUCAAAGGAAUUGACGGA